rnacentral:rRNA from 1 species
GUCCUAGCCGUAAACAAUGGGCACUAGGUGUUGUCGGUAUCGACCCCGGCAGUGCCGAAGCUAACGCAUUAAGUGCCCCGCCUGGGGAGUACGACCGCAAGGUUAAAACUCAAAGGAAUUGACGGGGCCCGCACAAGCAGCGGAGCGUGCGGUUCAAUUCGAUGGUACGCGAAGAACCUUACCCAGACUUGACAUGCAAGUGGUAGGGACCUGAAAGGGAACCGACCCGCAAGGGAGCUUGCACAGGUGUUGCACGGCUGUCGU